rnacentral:lncRNA from 1 species
CAUGCAUUUAAAUAUAUGUAAUACAAACACUAUAAAAUGAUCAUGAUACAUAGCACAUUCUUUAUGUUUACAGCACAACCAACCCUCAAAGCCAUAUUACAAUACACACAUAUAUAUAUAUAUAUAUGUAUAUAAUACAGAUUCACAUAUCUUGUGACCCCUUCUGCUUUAAUAAUAUUCUCUCACAUUUAUAAUAUAUAUAUAUAUAUAUCUGUUUCUCUCCCCAUAAACUCUGUCAUCAUCAAUAUGAUCAUGAAGAUAUAUAUAUAUAUAUAUAUUGUUAUUGUGGGGAAUGCUCGAACAUAUAAUCACAUAGCGGCUCGCAUUCAUCCUUGCAAAUAUGAGGAGUUGCAUGAAUAAGCUCCUUCAUGCACUUUUCAUGGCAAGACACGUAGCAUCCCUCAUCCAAGUGAUCUGCUUUUCCAUUUUCCGGGCAUCCAAACACCACAAUCACAGCGAUUAAAACCGCCACCAAAACCUUGUUAUUCGAAGCCAUUAAUCUCGAUUAAUUAACGAUAAUUAAUGAAUAAAUGUGAAAUAUAAAAUGGGGUUAUAUUAUGAGAGGGUUUAAGAAAACGUAAAAAAGAAAAAAUAAGAUAUGCGUGCACGCGUACUUGCGUGUGCAAGGAAAAAUGUCGAGAGUGUUUUCGUUUUUAUAAGGCUCGAGAAAGUUCGUUAAUUAGCUAGAAGGCAGACUGUCAUGACUGUUUAUACAUGGUGAAGAGAUAAUUUAGAUGAAAAAUUUCAUGGCAACCGAGUAUAAAUUUUGAUAGCUUAACCAACACGCUUCCUAAUUAGUUUUCAUCAUAUGAGUUUGUUAAUCCCA